AUUGAACGCUGGCGGCAGGCCUAACACAUGCAAGUCGAACGGUAACAGAAAGCAGCUUGCUGCUUUGCUGACGAGUGGCGGACGGGUGAGUAAUGUCUGGGAAACUGCCUGAUGGAGGGGGAUAACUACUGGAAACGGUAGCUAAUACCGCAUAACGUCGCAAGACCAAAGAGGGGGACCUUCGGGCCUCUUGCCAUCGGAUGUGCCCAGGUGGGAUUAGCUAGUAGGUGGGGUAACGGCUCACCUAGGCGACGAUCCCUAGCUGGUCUGAGAGGAUGACCAGCCACACUGGAACUGAGACACGGUCCAGACUCCUACGGGAGGCAGCAGUGGGGAAUAUUGCACAAUGGGCGCAAGCCUGAUGCAGCCAUGCCGCGUGUAUGAAGAAGGACUUCGGGUUGUAAAGUACUUUCAGCGGGGAGGAAGGGAGUAAAGUUAAUACCUUUGCUCAUUGACGUUACCCGCAGAAGAAGCACCGGCUAACUCCGUG
rnacentral:rRNA from 1 species